GACGAACGCUGGCGGCGUGCCUAAUACAUGCAAGUAGAACGCAGCUGCGAACGGGUGAGUAACGCGUUGGUAACUGCCUAAUAGCCGGGGAUAACUAUGGGAAACGAGAGCUAAUACCGCAUACUGUGACAAUGAAUCCCGUUGGAUUAGGUAGUUGGGGAGGGAAAGGGCCAACAAGGCGACGAUACAUAGCCGACCCGGGAGGGGGAUCGGCCAACCUGGGAAUGCGACACGGCCCAGACUCCUUCGGGAGGGCGCCGUAGGGAAACUUCGCGAAUUGGGGGAAGGCUGACCGGGCAACGCCGGCGGAGUGAAGAAGGUUUUCGGAUCGUAAAGCUCUGUUGUUAAGGAAGCGGUACCUAACCAGAAAGGGACGGCUAACUACGUGCCAGCAGCCGCGGUAAUAC
rnacentral:rRNA from 1 species